rnacentral:rRNA from 1 species
UACGUAGGGGGCAAGCGUCGUCCGGAUUUAUUGGGCGUAAAGAGCGUGUAGGCGGCCAAGCAGGUCAGCUGUGAAAACUCGAGGCUCAACCUCGAGACGUCGGUUGAAACCGCUUGGCUAGAGUCCGGAAGAGGAGAGUGGAAUUCCCGGUGUAGCGGUGAAAUGCGCAGAUAUCGGGAAGAACACCCGUGGCGAAGGCGGCUCUCUGGGACGGUACUGACGCUGAGACGCGAAAGCGUGGGGAGCGAACAGG